UCUAAUAUGGCAGAUUAGUGCAAUGGAUUUAAGCCCCAUAUAUAAAAUUUAUUAUUUUUGUUAGAA
rnacentral:tRNA from 1 species